GUGUCAGCAGCCGCGGUAAUACGGAGGGUGCGAGCGUUGUUCGGAAUUAUUGGGCGUAAAGCGCGUGCAGGCGGUUUUGCAAGUCUGAUGUGAAAGCCCCGGGCCCAACCUGGGAAGUGCAUUGGAAACUGCAAGACUUGAAUACGGGAGAGGAGAGUGGAAUUCCUGGUGUAGGGGUGAAAUCCGUAGAUAUCAGGAAGAACACCGGUGGCGAAGGCGGCUCUCUGGACCGAUAUUGACGCUGAGACGCGAAAGCGUGGGGAGCAAACAGGAUUAGAUACCCUGGUAGUCC
rnacentral:rRNA from 1 species